AAACCGUCGCAUUUUCGAGACGGUUUGCGACGAUGCCAUAAAUUGCCGAUUCGAGGUUCGCUCGACGAACGAUCGCGAGAUUUUAAACACGUAACACGUCGUCGAACGUGUAAAGGCGAGCAUCCAAACGGUCGGCUGCGUAGGCAAAUCGGCGGGGCAGGGCAGGGAGGGAGCGGAUAAAGGGAGAGAGAGAGAGAGAGAGAGAGAGAGAGAGAGAGAGAGAGAGAGAGAGAAAGAGAGAACUGCUUAUUCGUUGGAACACAAGAUCGGGGUCGAAGAAGACGGGGGUGGGCAGCAGCCAGCUGAUUCGGGAGAGUUCGUGAACGACCGUAAUCGAAACGCGAGGGAACGAAAGAGGCGAGGUAGCGCAGCAGCGCACGUCCGAUGCAGUCUGCCGCGACCACCGGGAAACCAGCUGACUGGUCGGUUCGGUUGCGUUCGUCGAAUCGUUCGGCAGUCUUCGGAUCUUUGUUCGUCUCUGUGCACGAGGCGGCUACCGGCAAGCGACAAACCUUUCCGUCAGUCGUCAGUCGCCGUUUCGACACUGUCGAAGGGUAAUGUGCGCGUGUGUCUAUUACCUCUUUGACACGAUCAGCGUUACCUUGGUUGCUUGAAUCGCGCGAUCGGCCAUCUCGUUACCGCAUCGGUCGACCGUAGACGGUCGAUCAGAACGACGAUCGCUCGUCGUUCCGAGACAUACAAGAGAGAACGAAAGAACGCGAUUAGCGUCGUCGCGCAGUCUACUCGUUACCGGCCUCCUCGUUCGCGUCGUUGUCGCGUAGUCGGAGGAGAAGACGCGAGAGAAAUCGU